AACAACCCAGACUACCAACUAAGGUCCCAAAGUUCUAUUCUAAGUGGAAAAAGAUGUGGAGUUACUCAGACAACCAGGAGGUUGGCUUAGAAGCAGCCAUCCUUUAAAGAUAGCGUAACAGCUCACUGGUCUAGUGAUUCUGCGCUGAAAAUAUAACGGGGCUAAGAUAGACACCGAAGUUGUAGAUUGUGCUGAUGCACAGUGGUAGAAGAGCGUUCGCAUCUGCGUCGAAGCCAUACCGGCAAGGAGUGGUGGAGCGAUGCGAAGUGAGCAUGCAGGAAUGAGUAGCGAUAAAAGUGGUGAGAAUCCACUUCGCCGAAAAUCUAAGGUUUCCUACGCUAUGCUCGUCAUCGUAGGGUUAGUCGGGUCCUAAGACAAGUCAGAAAUGGGUAGUCGAUGGAAAAUUGGUUAAUAUUCCAAUACCAAUAUUAGUGUGCGAUGUGGGGACGCAUAGGGUCGAGACAAGCUGACGGAUAGAAGUGUCAGUCGAAAGGUGCAAGUUAGGAGAUUGGUAAAUCCGCUCCCGUAUCCCAAACCCAACAGGCUCUUUGAAAUCUUCGGAUGGAAAGGAGAAUUGUUCAGAUCGUCGUGCCAAGAAAAGCCUCUAAGUUUAGCUAAUAUUGCCCGUACCGCAAACCGACACAGGUAGAUGAGAUGAGUAUUCUAAGGCGCGUGAAAGAACUCUCUUUAAGGAACUCUGCAAACUAACACCGUAAGUUCGCGAUAAGGUGUGCCACAGCAAUGUGGUCUCAGCAAAGAGUCCCUCCCGACUGUUUACCAAAAACACAGCACUUUGCCAACUCGAAAGAGGAAGUAUAAGGUGUGACGCCUGCCCGGUGCUCGAAGGUUAAGAGGAUUAGUCAGCCGCAAGGUGAAGCUUUGAAUUGAAGCCCGAGUAAACGGCGGCCGUAACUAUAACGGUCCUAAGGUAGCGAAAUUCCUUGUCGGUUAAAUACCGACCUGCAUGAAUGGCGUAACGAGAUGGGAGCUGUCUCAAAGAGUGAUUCAGUGAAAUUGUAGUGGAGGUGAAAAUUCCUCCUACCCGCGGCAAGACGGAAAGACCCCGUGGACCUUUACUACAGCUUGGCACUGCCGAUGGGAACAUUAUGCGCAGCAUAGGUGGGAGGCUUUGAAAUCUUUACUCCGGUAGAGAUGGAGCCAUCGUUGAGAUACCACCCUUAAUGUUUCUGUCUGCUAACUAGCUUGAGUUAUCCUCAAGUAGGACAAUGCCUGGUGGGUAGUUUGACUGGGGCGGUCGCCUCCUAAAAAGUAACGGAGGCUUGCAAAGGUUGGCUCAAAAUGGUUGGAAAUCAUUUGUAGAGUGUAAUGGCAUAAGCCAGCCUGACUGUAAGACAAACAAGUCAAGCAGAGACGAAAGUCGGUCAUAGUGAUCCGGUGAUUCUGUGUGGAAGGGUCAUCGCUCAAAGGAUAAAAGGUACCCCGGGGAUAACAGGCUGAUCUCCCCCAAGAGCUCACAUCGACGGGGAGGUUUGGCACCUCGAUGUCGGCUCAUCGCAUCCUGGGGCUGGAGCAGGUCCCAAGGGUAUGGCUGUUCGCCAUUUAAAGCGGUACGCGAGCUGGGUUCAGAACGUCGUGAGACAGUUCGGUCCCUAUCUGCCGUGGGCGUAGGAAAGUUGAGGAGAUCUGUCCCUAGUACGAGAGGACCGGGAUGGACAUGCCACUGGUGUAGCUGUUGUCCUGCUAUGGGCAUCGCAGCGUAGCUACGCAUGGAUGUGAUAAACGCUGAAAGCAUCUAAGCGUGAAGCCAACUCCAAGAUGAACUUUCCCUGAAGGUCGCAGGAAGACUACCUGCUUGAUAGGGUAGAGGUGUAAGCAUAGUAAUGUGUUUAGCUGACUACUACUAAUAGACCGUUUGGCUUAAUUGAUUUUUUAAA
rnacentral:rRNA from 1 species